CGGCAGGCCUAAUACAUGCAAGUCGAGGGGUAACAUGAGAGCUUGCUCUUGAUGACGACCGGCGCACGGGUGCGUAACGCGUAUGCAACCUACCCACAACUGGAAGAUAGCCCGGAGAAAUCCGGAUUAAUACUCCAUAAUGCAGGGGUACCACCUGGUACUAUUUGCUAAAGAUUUAUUGGUUGUGGAUGGGCAUGCGUCUGAUUAGUUUGUUGGUGAGGUAACGGCUCACCAAGACUACGAUCAGUAGGGGGUCUGAGAGGAUGAUCCCCCACACUGGCACUGAGAUACGGGCCAGACUCCUACGGGAGGCAGCAGUAGGGAAUAUUGGGCAAUGGGCGAAAGCCUGACCCAGCCAUGCCGCGUGAAGGAUGAAGGCCUUCUGGGUUGUAAACUUCUUUUAUAUAGGAAGAAAAAGGUCAUGCGUGACCAAUUGACGGUACUAUAUGAAUAAGCACCGGCUAACUCCGUGCCAGCAGCCGCGGUAAUACGGAGGGUGCAAGCGUUGUCCGGAUUUAUUGGGUUUAAAGGGUGCGUAGGCGGUGCGCUAAGUCAGUGGUGAAAUCCCGCAGCUCAACUGCGGAACUGCCAUUGAUACUGGCGUACUUGAGUACAGACGAGGUAGGCGGAAUUUAUGGUGUAGCGGUGAAAUGCAUAGAUACCAUAAAGAACACCGAUAGCGAAGGCAGCUUACUAGACUGUAACUGACGCUCAGGCACGAAAGCGUGGGGAGCGAACAGGAUUAGAUACCCUGGUAGUCCACGCCGUAAACGAUGAUCACUCGAUGUGUGCGAUAAACUGUACGCGUCCAAGCGAAAGCGUUAAGUAUCCACCUGG
rnacentral:rRNA from 1 species